rnacentral:rRNA from 1 species
GAGUACUAUGGAUUAAAAAGUUUAAAACUCAAAGAGCUUGGCGGUGUUUUAGACCUCUCAGGGGAACCUGUCUCAUAAUCGACAAUCCACGUUACACCUAACCUUAUUUCGCUUUUACAGUUUGUAUACCGUCGUCGUCAGGUAACUUUUAAAAAUUUAGAAGUUAGCAAAAAAGUUAUAUAAGCUUAUACGUCAGAUCAAGGUGCAGCUUAUAUUAAGGUGAGGAUGGGUUACAAUUAUAAAAUCAUAACUACAAAGUAAUUAUAAUAAUAUAUAAUUAUAAGGAGGACUUGAAAGUAAACUAAAUUAU